rnacentral:rRNA from 1 species
UACGGGGGGGGGCAAGCGUUGUCCGGAAUCACUGGGCGUAAAGGGCGCGUAGGCGGUCGUGACAAGUCACUUGUGAAAUCUCCGGGCUUAACUCGGAACGGUCAAGUGAUACUGUCGGACUAGAGUACAGAAGGGGCAACUGGAAUUCUCGGUGUAGCGGUGAAAUGCGUAGAUAUCGAGAGGAACACCUGCGGCGAAGGCGGGUUGCUGGGCUGAUACUGACGCUGAGGCGCGAAAGCCAGGGGAGCGAACGGG